AACGCUGGCGGCGGUGCCUAAUACAUGCAAGUAGAACGCUGAAGAGAGGAGCUUGCUCUUCUUGGAUGAGUUGCGAACGGGUGAGUAACGCGUAGGUAACCUGCCUGGUAGCGGGGGAUAACUAUUGGAAACGAUAGCUAAUACCGCAUGAUAUUAAUUAUCGCAUGAUAAUUAAUUGAAAGAUGCAAUUGCAUCACUACCAGAUGGACCUGCGUUGUAUUAGCUAGUUGGUGAGGUAACGGCUCACCAAGGCGACGAUACAUAGCCGACCUGAGAGGGUGAUCGGCCACACUGGGACUGAGACACGGCCCAGACUCCUACGGGAGGCAGCAGUAGGGAAUCUUCGGCAAUGGGGGGAACCCUGACCGAGCAACGCCGCGUGAGUGAAGAAGGUUUUCGGAUCGUAAAGCUCUGUUGUAAGAGAAGAACGGGUGUGAGAGU
rnacentral:rRNA from 1 species